rnacentral:tRNA from 1 species
ACUCACAUAAUAUAAAAAUUAUAUUUGACUUCCAAUCAAAAAAUCUAGAAACAGUAUGAGUA